rnacentral:rRNA from 1 species
GAUGAACGCUGGCGGCGUGCCUAAUACAUGCAAGUCGAGCGAACGGAUGAGAAGCUUGCUUCUCUGAUGUUAGCGGCGGACGGGUGAGUAACACGUGGAUAACCUACCUAUAAGACUGGGAUAACUUCGGGAAACCGGAGCUAAUACCGGAUAAUAUUUUGAACCGCAUGGUUCAAAAGUGAAAGACGGUCUUGCUGUCACUUAUAGAUGGAUCCACGCUGCAUUAGCUAGUUGGUAAGGUAACGGCUUACCAAGGCAACGAUGCAUAGCCGACCUGAGAGGGUGAUCGGCCACACUGGAACUGAGACACGGUCCAGACUCCUACGGGAGGCAGCAGUGGGGAAUCUUCCGCAAUGGGCGAAAGCCUGACGGAGCAACGCCGCGUGAGUGAUGAAGGUCUUCGGAUCGUAAAACUCUGUUAUUAGGGAAGAACAUAUGUGUAAGUAACUGUGCACAUCUUGACGGUACCUAAUCAGAAAGCCACGGCUAACUACGUG